rnacentral:rRNA from 1 species
AAGUCGUAACAAGGUUUCCGUAGGUUAACUGAGGAACAAUGGNUGUCG